rnacentral:rRNA from 1 species
UACGUAGGGGGCAAGCGUUGUCCGGAAUCAUUGGGCGUAAAGAGCGUGUAGGCGGCCCGGUAAGUCCGCUGUAAAAGUCAAAGGCUCAACCUUUGAAUGUCAGUGGAUACUGCCGGGCUAGAGUCCGGAAGAGGCGAGUGGAACUCCUGGUGUAGCGGUGGAAUGCGCAGAUAUCAGGAGGAACACCAAUUGCGAAGGCAGCUCGCUGGGACGUUACUGACGCUGAGACGCGAAAGCGUGGGGGAGCAAACAGG